rnacentral:rRNA from 1 species
UGAGUAACGCGUAUGCAACCUACCUAUCAGAGGGGAAUAACCCGGCGAAAGUCGGACUAAUACCGCAGUAAAACAGGGGCACCGCAUGGUGAUAUUUGUUAAAGGAAUUCGCUGAUAGAUGGGCAUGCGUUCCAUUAGGUAGUUGGUGAGGUAACGGCUCACCAAGCCGACGAUGGAUAGGGGAACUGAGAGGUUGGUCCCCCCACACUGGUACUGAGACACGGACCAGACUCCUACGGGAGGCAGCAGUGAGGAAUAUUGGUCAAUGGGCGGGAGCCUGAACCAGCCAAGUCGCGUAGAAGGAAGAAGGAUCUAUGGUUCGUAAACUUCUUUUGCAGGGGAAUAAAGUGCAGGACGUGUCCUGUUUUGUAUGUACCCUGAGAAUAAGGAUCGGCUAACUCCGUGCCAGCAGCCGC